CACAGCACAUAUUGUCAGGAGACCGGGAAUGCCACUCUCCCACCUUUUCAUACUCUCACGCUUUUUUGCAUUGAUAAGAUUUCAGAAGCACAUUUGUGGCUCUGCUCAGAGGGGAAUAUGACAGCACACUUGUCAUGCUUUCCCUCUGCCAACACGCCUUCUUCGCAGACAGCAGACUGGGCUGCUGCUGACCUUAUUGUCAGGAAAGACAAAAUCCCAUGGGAAUAUUUUCUCUCUGUUGUUUUCAGAGUACCAGAGUCAAUUCCCUUCUUUGCUGAUGCACAGAGCUCGCCAAAGCACAUGGGCUGGAAGGGAAGAACUUAGACUUGAUCAAAUAUCCCCCCUCCAUCGCUAGCAGCAUCUUCAGCAAUGAGGAAAUAACAUCUCAGCCCUACGGUAGGCAUCCUGUGAUGCUACUGCCCGCAGUGCCAGUGAUUGCCUCUAGCAUCAAAGAAUUUCUCUGCAAGGACCCCCAUUGCCUGAAUCAUUUACCUUUGGAGUGCGUCUCCGUGCAGCAACUCUCCAACCACCACCCUGCAGAUGCAACCAAGCUGGCCUUCUUUUUGUUAUGUGGGAUACUGAUAACAACACCUCUGUAGCCGCUGAGAAUUCAGGAACAGACUCAAAAUCUUGCUGGGAAGGUGGGUAAAUAUUCAAGCAGAUGGCUGCUGCUGAGCUCUGCUGCAGCUACUCCUGCUGUUCUGUGGGAAACUCGGGUUUAAGACAAAUUGGACCAAGCACAACACAAGGAAACAUGCUGAAAUCAUGACUGGUAAACAAGAGGAACAGUAAACUGGAAAAUAAAAGACCAAAACAGCUGUGGCAGAAACUAGACCUAAAUAAUGAGCAAAAAAAUGAGGGAACAGUCUAAGGUCAUCCUGCUUCUCUUUUGGGGGCCUUAAAAAUAGCUCAAACAGGAGAAAAUCAAAACAAAGCACAGAGGGAACAAAACAAUGGUUUAUAUUACCUCUAUGGCUGCUAGCCCAUUUGUCCUCAGGCUCUCCUGCUUCUCAGAUAUUUCUCACCCAGAGCACAGAGAGAAAACCCUUCAUAUAUCCACAGCCAUCAGCUUCAUCUACAUCCUAAAGAUUACCCAAUUAUAAGACCAUAUUUCUUCUUUCCAUUAUGGAUUGUUUUAUUUCUUUAAAUCUUCUUAAAUUAUAAGAUUAACUGUUUUUUUUCUGCAUAUUACAGUAUCAGAGUUAUUUGUGGGGAAUGGUGAAUAAUGGGGAUUUACUCUCUGCUUCAUGGGCUACCAGUUGAUUCUUACAUACCCUUCAAGAAGUCCUUAUCAUUUUCACCCCCUUUAUAGCUCUGGUUCUUUGCUUCUCUCUGACUGCACCAUAGAAGACAUCUAGCUUUGCCUGACUAACACUGCACUAUUUAGCAUUCUAGUGUUAUAUUGCCAUUCUCUGCUAAUUUAGACACAACAGACAAACCCAGACAGUGGAAAAGAGUAGCAGAACCUAUAAGGAGGAUGCCUUGGAUUGGUCAGAGCAAAGAGAGGUCUGCAGAGAAAGGGAAUCCCAUCCUAAUUACUGACGGACCUGGGAUUUUGGAACUCAAAUCUCCAACUGCUUCACACCUCUCUGACCUCAGCCUUGAAUCUGAAUACAAUCCUAAGAGUGACAGAAAAUUAUUUUUUGCAAAUCUGCAUUGUGUGCCAGAGCCCCAGUGUUCCCCAGAGGACCACCCAGCUGUUUGCUCUCACUAGGAUGCAGAAAACAUGUGGCUAACAAUAACAUCUGGCACCAGUGGGUGACUGAUGUCCAUUCCAUGGCAGUUGAAAACCAAGAGGUUAUUCAUCUUGAUUAUUAUUUUUUUUAAAGCUCUGACAGUCUAAAAACAGAUUUGUUUUGUUUUGUUUUUAAACUGAAAUAGAGGACAGUUCAUGACAGCUAGAACAGCAGGUGGCUGGUGAUCGAUUCAUUUUAGAGAAAGAUGACUAAUUCUCUCCUGUCACACAUGAAAGCUAUUUCAAUAUCAAACAAAGAGUCUAAUUUUGAGAGGCUGCAUUAUCCUCCAAGCACUUGAACCCUGAGAUCUUCCUUUUCUAUUUCACACAAAGUUUUCUUCACAACUCAUGCACAAUUUUUGUAACAUGCUUCUUAGGAGAUUAUGACAAAAAGUACUUCCCUUGCAUCAGGGACAGUCAUUUGUUUGCAAAUGCAGAUGUAUUAAAUCUUGUUAAUUCUACUGAGGAAAACGUAGCAAUGGUCACAGUGUGAGUUUCAGUCGGAGACUUGUAAGAAGAAGAAUGUGUCAGAAGGAUAAGGAAUAUAAGGAGACAUUUAUCGUUUUGUGAAGUUUGGGGAAGUGGAGGAUGUCAAAUAAAGGUUUGUAAUAUUUGAAGUAAA